GUAUUCUCAAAAUUUUAUUCAUAAAUGGAUCUUGAUUUUAACAAUCAUCAAUUUUAUCUUAAAAGAUGAAUAAAAUAAAACUUCCUAAAAUAUUUGUUGACCACUUCACUAUCUUCCUACACAGUAACAUCUCUCAAAUAUCACGUUAAACCAUCAAUAAUAAUUUGGUUCUUACUGCCUCAUUCUCAAUCCUCAACUUCAUAGAAAUUCAACAAAAGUUCUAUGACAUUUAUAAUUGAAAUUUGUUUCAAUGAAAGCUAUGGAAAAUGUUGCUUCAAAAAUGACAGCUUAAGGUGACUCUGGCCUAUUCGAAGUUUCUAUCAGGAGUGCCGUAUUUUUUGUUAUUUUA
rnacentral:lncRNA from 1 species